GUCUGUUUUCUCAAUGAUAACUUGGCAGAAGAAGAGAGAGGCUGCCAGGUUCUCCUCGGGUGGUUACGUGACAAAUGUCUUCCAUGCUGUUUGUCACCACUCUACAUGCCAGUUCAGACAGCCGAGUGGUUUCUUUCCCCAGGAGUGAGAUGUUUGAGCAACUAGCAAAGAGAAGAGGCAGCGUACCCAAGAACUCUGGAGUUUGAAUAGAUCCUUUCUCAGCCCAGAUUCUCUAAAUCCAGCUCUGCCUAGGAACCGCUCUCUGUUUCUGUUGCUUAUUCAAGUUCAAACUCCGCAGUUAAUAUUGUUGGAGCAUGUUCAGUUUCACUUCCCAACCAAACCAAAGGGCAUAAAAAUGCUUACUAAGGUAGAUGGAAGACAUAGAAGGCAAUGCCCUAAACUUUACUCGUGCUUAGACCUUGUAAAUCCAAUUAAACCUCCUCAACAACAUGGGAAGGGAAGUAUUAUUAUCCCCAUUUCUGUGCCAAGGAAACUGAGACACAAAGAAGUUGAGUAAUUUGCUCAAAAUUACACAGCUGGGGUUCAAAUUAAAGUGCCCUGAGUGCUCGCUAUCAAGCUCUCUGCUUACCUACCUACCUACCUAUUCAAACUUAUUUCCAACUAUUGGCAUCACUGAGUCAUGUUUCAGUUAGGCUGGUCACCCACUGUUCAUCUCAUACACUCUGUUGACUCACACUGCGAUCCCAGUGUCAAAUCUUUCAACUCCCUCUUCACUUCCCAAUUCCUUUCUGAACAAAUAGGCAUUUUUCCGCUUUCUCUUCGGGUUUACCUAACAUAGUGCUAAGUACAACACUGGCUCUCAUUAAAUACCUUCUGAUGCAUUAAUUGACAUAAAAUUGUCUUAUGGAGACCUAGAAUGCCACUUUUCCAGUUGAUAGAAAUUAAGUUUUAUGUAGCAAAAGUGUUAUCCUUUCAGCUGAAGAAAUGACAAGUUUAUUUCUCCAUAUUUUAGACAGUCCCUAGAAAACAAUUUAGGGAAGCAUUCUAUGAUAAAGCAGAACUUCAUAUGGGGAGUGGGGUGGGUGAGCAGGUAUAUAAUUGUAGUACUUGAAAAGCUACGUAGACUUAAUUAUUAUGACUUUAUAGCUCUUAUGAGUCUUUCUCUGCUAUAUUUUGAAUUUUUGACUGUCAAGAUAUUAAAAUUUCCAUUUAAAAAGAUAGGAAAACAAAUAAGAACCCGUAGGCAGGAGAUAUGUGAUCUCAUCUUGGAGCUGCUGCUACUGCUCGCUGUGUGGCCUCUGGCAAAUUAUUUAACCAUUCUGGGCCUCAGUUCCCUAACUGCACAAGGAAGGGUUGAACCAAUCUCCAAGGUCCCUCCAGCUCCAAGCUUACAAGUAUGACAUAGGAUGUGUGAGAGAAGAAAGAGCAAGAACACUCAGCCUGGAGUGAGACUGGUUUUUUUGAAGGAUGCGAAAAAAAUGCUGGAGAGCUCAGGUAAAGUUAGCCAAGUUUAUGUUUCUAAUUCCUGUGUAUAAUUAAAGAUAGCUCAGGAAAAAAAAAAUCCAUGCAAAAAUAUGUUCAAACCUAUGGUUUCCAGUGGCUCACACCUGUAAUCCCAGCACUUCAAGAGGCCAAGGCGGGAGGAUUGCUUCAACCCAGGAUUUUGAGACCCGCCUAGGCAAUGUAAUGAGACCCCUGUCUCUGCAAGAAAUAGAAGAAAUCAGCAGGGCAUGGUGGCAUAUGCCUGUUGUCCCAGCUACUCAGAAGGCUGAGGCAAGAGGAUUGCUUGAGCCCUGAAGUCAAGGCUGCAGUAAGCAGUGAUCGUGCCACUGCACUCUAGCUGAGGUGACAGAGUGAGACCCCUGUCUCAAAACACACACACACACACACACACAUAUAAAAACCCUACACUUUACAAAACUGCCCUUUUUUAUAUGAGAUAAAAUUAUUAUUAUAUUUUUUAUUAAUAAUAAAAUAUUAUUAUUUGAGACAGGAUCUGGCUCUGUAUUCCAGGCUGGAGUGCAGUGGCCUGACCAUAGCUCACUGUAACCUCGAACUCCUGGGCUCAAGCAAUCCUCCUGCCUCAGACUCUGGAGCAGCUAGGACUACAGGUAUGUGCCACCAUGCCCAGCUAUUUUUUAAAACUAUUUUGUAGAGAUGAGUCCUCGCUAUGUUGUCCAGGCUGGUCUCAAACUCCUGGCCUUGGGCAAUCCUCCUGUCUUCACCUCCAGAGUUGCUGGAAUUACAGGCAUGAGCCACUGCACCCAGACCCCAAGAUGAAAUUAUCAACAACCGUGUUUACCAGUAGCCUACCAUAUCAGCCAAAAUGUUAUUAGUCAUGAUUCAUGUAUGCCUAAAACUUUCUUUCUAACAGUAUCAAAUUGUUGUAUAGACCUAAUUUGAUAUGAAUGGAUCCAACCUAUUGCCUGGAUGUCAACUCACAUGUAGCUUGAAUUAAAUCAUGAAGAACAGAGGUCUACAGAGACUUGGGGGCUAGAAUCAGAAUGAGACUUUUUGCAUGUUUCCUGUUUAUAACUGAGUAAGCCUGUGUUCUUUUCCUUAUUUGUCCUCAUGUGUUGAAUAAUUACAACUCAUUGACUUCCUCAUCAGGUUUUUGUUGGGAUAAAAUGAAGUAGUGGAAACGAGACAGACUCUACCAAUACAACAAAAUAUUAUGAUGUCAGAUGUGCCUCAUCUUACAUCUGAGUUGUAUUUCUAAAAAGUUUACCAGUUAGCAGAGCAUGUGGAGACAAGAUGUCAGGUCCCCUGGCUGAGAAUCUGAGCUGAUUUCUACAUAUAUUGCUAGUUAUAGGAUUUCACAAGGUCCUGUAGGCUGUGAAGGGCAGAAUUGAGAUGGCUAUACAAAUAAACUGCCCUCUCCACAGACCAUUCUCAAAAGACAUGGUACAAACUCUGGGAAAAUAGGCAGCCAAUCACAUCUCACCCAGGACCAAAUUCAUUCAAACAUUUAUUUAAAAUAGAAAUGUAUAUCAAGCCUCUGACAUGAAAACAGUUUUAUAUAAGGCAAAUUCCUUAACCAGGUUUCAUUAUAGCUCUAGGGAUCCAUGGAUGAAUUAAGAAACUCUUGAAGUUGUAGGCAAAGAGUGUGUGUGUGUGUGUGUGUGAGUGAGUGUGUGUGUGUGUGUGUGAGUGUGUGUGUGUGUGUGUAUUGUUCUCAAGAAAAGAUCCAUAACUUUUGUCACAUUCUCAGAAGGGUGCACGACUCCAGAAAGGUUAAGAACCACUGAUGUAAGAAUCAUUUAUUUAAAAAUUGAACUUAUAAAGAAUAACACAUUCAUUUAAGCCAAAUGUCAUGAUGGCCACAACACAGAUAGUGUAUAAUAAUCACCAGUAUUCAGAGUGAUGGCCUUGAGACACAAUAAAAGCCUCAGUCAUCAAAGACAUUUAUUUUCAAGGUAUUUUACUUAACUGACAUGGGAAAAUGAACAAGCCUUUUAGAAAGAUUUGAAUAUUGAUUUAAAAUGAGGUUUCUGCUUUUGUUUAAGCCAGUUGGGCAAGUCUCUGUGUGCUAAACAAGGUGGAUUAGUGUAGAAAAAUAUGCAUUGUUUCAGAAAGUACAGUUAGGAGUCCACUGCAGUUGUUGAGGUGGCAAAGAAUGGGGGACUGAUGCUGGACCUUGGCAGUGGGGAGGGGGGAGGAACUGGAGGGAUGUUUGGCAGGAAACUGAAAUCAACAGACUUAAAUGUCUGGCUUGGGCAACUGAAUUAAAACAGUAGGAUAUUAAAGAGGUACAAAUAAACGUUUUGGUAAGAAAAUAAUUAAUUUGGUUUAAAAUGUUAGAUUUAAAGGCCUCUGGAACAGCCAGAUUCCACUGGUCUUGGGAAAGAUUUAGAAGAGAUUUAUGAAGCAUGGUGGCACAUGCUUGUAGUCCCAGCUACUUGGGAGGAAGGUUGGGGCCCAGGAGUUUGAGGCUACAGUGCACCUUGAUCACACCUGUGAAUAGCCAGUGCAUGCCAGCCUGGGCAACAUUGCAAGACUCUGUGUCCACAUUUUAAAACAUAUUUUUUUAAAGAAGACAUUUAUGGCUGAAGAAAUUUAUUUGAGAAUCAUCAGUAAAUUAGUGAUGGCUUAAGCUGGUAAUAAAAGUGUGGAAAAUUAUAAAUGUAAAUGACUUAGGAGAGUCUUAUAUAAAGCUGCAUUUAUUUGAAUAAGUUCUUACUUUUAAAAUAUGAAAUUAUAUAACACCCAAGGAAAAAUAGUGUUGGUGACUUUAAAUAUUUAUACAACUGUGUUUGUACCAUACAUUUCUGAAAAAAACUAUCCACCUCAGAAUUUUAUUUUACAUUGUGGGUUUUCUGGAGUUCUUGCAUUUCAAGACUCAAUUUUCCAUUUGAGAUAGCACAUUCACUGCCUGGUUUUAGAAGGGAGAAAGAGUUUUCCUUGGCAACCAGGUUCGACUGGAAAAAAUAAUCAAGAUGUCACCUGAUGCCACAAGCUACCAACUACGUUCUCAGCUAUGCGGACCUGCCAGUUGCUGAACCAGCAGAGGAAACUCGGCAUCAUGGAAAGAACACUAAACUUAGAACAGUUGAGUGUGAGUCUCAUUUCUGCCUCUUACUGUUUUUGCGACCCUGGACAAGUCAUUCAACUUCCCAGAACCUGUAUUUCCUCUUUAAUAACUGCCCUACCAUCCUCCAACAAUCCUCAGGUAACGAUCCUUAGAGCACUGGUGUUUAGGAGAUCGCCAAAGGGGUGGAUUGAGUGAACCCAAUCACAUGUUUAAAAAGCCGUUUCCUCGACUAACUUCCUCCAGGAUGACGCCUCCCACUGUCCUCCCCAUGACAGCCGACUGCGGUUAAUCUCUCCUUUGUCUCUACUUCCAUCCACAAACUGGUAUCAUUGUAUUUAUGCUUUAAUUAUUAUUAAUAUAUCUGUCUUUGCCAUCUUUUAUGUAAAAGAUGUUUUAGUUAUUUUUUUAUUCUUAGUGCCUAGCACACAGUAGGUGCUCCAUAAAUGCUAAAUGAAUAAACAAUGAUCAAAGAGAA